rnacentral:lncRNA from 1 species
UCUCGCCCCAGGCCCCGCGCCUGCAGCGCCCGCCCGGGAGCCGGCCGCGCCGCGGGGUAGCUGAGGAGGGAAGUAGACAAGGAGCGCAGCGGCGAGCAGAAGAGCGAGGACGGCGCCGCCGAGGACCCCGCCAAGAAGAAGAAGCAGCGGAGGCAAAGGACGCAUUUCACCAGCCAGCAGCUGCAGGAGCUGGAGGCCACUUUCCAGCGGAACCGCUACCCGGACAUGAGCAUGCGGGAGGAGAUCGCCGUGUGGACCAACCUCACGGAGCCGCGGGUCCGGGAAACCCCUUCGGAGGGCCCAGCCGAGCCCGGCCCAGGGCUCUGUACGAGAUGCUGAUUAUUUUUCCAAGCGGCCUCCGCGCUCCUUCUCCCCCAGGUUUCCACCCCGGGCCUGGCUGAGGAAGGGGGCCUGCGGGCGGGGGCUUGGCUGCUCCAAGCCCCGCAGGCCGGGGAGCGAUCCCGGCCAAGCCGAGGCCUGUGCCGCCGCCCUCGCUGCCGCUGCGGGACGGGCCCCGCCACUUCCCCGAGCCCGGCCCGGCCCGGCCCCCGCGUCUUCCCUGAUCCCCGCGGUCGCUGAUCUGCGGUUAUGAGGGGCACUGGAGCUCGGCGAGGCGGCCGGAGCGGGGCCAGCUCACCCCCUCCGCGAAUGUCAGAGCGGUGCCGACACAGGCGUGCGCGCGGGGGAGGCGCACACCGACACGGGGAGGUCGGGCACACUCA